GUCUGGGGGAGAUAGCUCAGUUGGUAGAGCAUGAGGUUCUGAAUCUCAGGGUUGUGGGUUCGAGCCCCACGCUGGGCA